rnacentral:rRNA from 1 species
GUCGAACGGAUCCUUCGGGAUUAGUGGCGGACGGGUGAGUAACACGUGGGAACGUGCCCUUUGGUUCGGAACAACUCAGGGAAACUUGAGCUAAUACCGGAUGUGCCCUUCGGGGGAAAGAUUUAUCGCCAUUGGAGCGGCCCGCGUAGGAUUAGCUAGUUGGUGGGGUAAAGGCCCACCAAGGCUACGAUCCUUAGCUGGUCUGAGAGGAUGAUCAGCCACAUUGGGACUGAGACACGGCCCAAACUCC